rnacentral:rRNA from 1 species
GUAGGUGGCAAGCGUUGUCCGGAAUUAUUGGGCGUAAAGCGCGCGCAGGCGGUUCUUUAAGUCUGAUGUGAAAGCCCACGGCUCAACCGUGGAGGGUCAUUGGAAACUGGAGAACUUGAGUACAGAAGAGGAAAGCGGAAUUCCACGUGUAGCGGUGAAAUGCGUAGAGAUGUGGAGGAACACCAGUGGCGAAGGCGGCUUUCUGGUCUGUAACUGACGCUGAGGCGCGAAAGCGUGGGGAGCAAACAGGGAUUAGAUACCCUGCUAGUCCACGCCGUAAACGAUGAGUGCUAAGUGUUAGGGGGGUUUUCCGCCCCCCUUAGUGCUGCAGCUAACGCAUUAAGCACUCCGCCUGGGAGUACGGCCGCAAGGCUG